rnacentral:rRNA from 1 species
CCCUGUAACUUCGGGAGAAGGGGUCCCUACGUGAGUAGGGCGCAGCGAAACGAUCCAGGCGACUGUUUAUCAAAAACACAUGGCUUUGCGAAUUUGAAAGAAGAUGUAUAAGGCCUGACACCUGCCCGGUGCUGGAAGGUUAAGGGGAGAGGUUAGCGCAAGCGAAGCUUUGAACUUAAGCCCCAGUAAACGGCGGCCGUAACAAUAACGGUCCUAAGGUAG